UAGGGAAUCUUCGGCAAUGGACGCAAGUCUGACCGAGCAACGCCGCGUGAGUGAAGAAGGUUUUCGGAUCGUAAAACUCUGUUGUUAGAGAAGAACAAGGAUGAGAGUAAAAUGUUCAUCCCUUGACGGUAUCUAACCAGAAAGCCACGGCUAACUACGUGCCAGCAGCCGCGGUAAUACGUAGGUGGCAAGCGUUGUCCGGAUUUAUUGGGCGUAAAGCGAGCGCAGGUGGUUUCUUAAGUCUGAUGUGAAAGCCCCCGGCUCAACCGGGGAGGGUCAUUGGAAACUGGGGAACUUGAGUGCAGAAGAGGAGAGUGGAAUUCCAUGUGUAGCGGUGAAAUGCGUAGAUAUAUGGAGGAACACCAGUGGCGAAGGCGGCUCUCUGGUCUGUAACUGACGCUGAGGCUCGAAAGCGUGGGGAGCAAACAGG
rnacentral:rRNA from 1 species